UACGUAGGUGGCAAGCGUUAUCCGGAAUGACUGGGUGUAAAGGGAGCGUAGACGGUUGUUCAAGUCUGAUGUGAAAGCCCUCGGCUUAACUGGGGGAGUGCAUUGGAAACUGAAGGACUAGAGUAUCGGAGAGGCAAGUGGAAUUCCUAGUGUAGCGGUGAAAUGCGUAGAUAUUAGGAGGAACACCAGUGGCGAAGGCGGCUUGCUGGACGAAAACUGACGUUGAGGCUCGAAAGCGUGGGGAGCAAACGGG
rnacentral:rRNA from 1 species